rnacentral:rRNA from 1 species
AUUGAACGCUGGCGGCAGGCUUAACACAUGCAAGUCGAACGAGUGGCGGACGGGUGAGUAAUGCUUGGGAAUCUGGCUUAUGGAGGGGGAUAACGACGGGAAACUGUCGCUAAUACCGCGUACCAUAGGAUGAGCCCAAGUGGGAUUAGGUAGUUGGUGGGGUAAUGCCCUACCAAGGCGACGAUCGCUAGCUGGUCUGAGAGGAUGACGAGCCAAACCGGAACUGAGACACGGCCCGGACGCCUACGGGAGGAAGCAGUGGGGAAUAUUGCGCAAUGGGGGCAACCUGACGCAGCCAUGCCGCGUGAAUGAAGAAGGCCUUCGGGUUGUAAAGUGCUUUCGGUGACGAGGCGUUAAUCACAGAAGAAGCACCGGCUAAAUCCGUGCGAGCAGCCGCGGUAAUUC